rnacentral:lncRNA from 1 species
CCAUGCCUGCCUGGAAUCUGCCAUGCUCCUCCUACCUUGAUGUUCAUGGACUGAGUCUCAGAACCUGCAUGCCAAUGCGGGGAGACCAACUGAGCCACACUGCUGCUUCACAGAGUGCAUUGAAGUUUGGUGUCAGCCUUCACUUCGCAUAGCUGGACAAACAGCUGCAAUAGUUUGGAAGCAUUUAGGAAUACACGUUUCUUCAGCAUCUCCUGUCAUGUGAUCAAAUAGCCAGAGAAAAGAGAGCCAAGCUUGGGUGCCUCUCUUUACAUAACGACACACAGCCAUAAUACAUGUUCACCUCCUCUCUCUGUCAGGACACUGCUCAGCCUCCUUGGGGAUUUGAAAUGUUUCUAAAUACUUAAAAUCAAAUAAAAGAAAGCU